CCUGUUUAAAAGGCAGGUGCAGGAACACAGGUGUCACUUCAGAUGGGCUGUUGCUGCUGUGCUCUCACAGGAUGUGGCUGUUCCUUCUUUACCUUCCCUCACUGUAAGCUCCUGGCUCUGUGGGGCCAUUAUAUGCAAAACCAUGCCCAAAUAAUUGAUCCCCUGCCAUCCAAAUUGCAGAAGUGCUUGAGCAUUUUGUAAUCUUACAGCAAAGGGGCUUCCUCGCCUAGGAGACAAAGAGGCCCUGGACAACUGCUGUGGCUGCAUCCGAGCACCUCUCCUGAAGUGUGGCAGAUCUACCUGUCCUCAACUCACAAUGCAACAAGACAGGGGCUUUGUGGCCCUUUCCUAUGACCAUAGCCACCACCAAACAAGAAGUGAAAUAUUUUCUUUUGUGCUAUUCGGUGUUGCCUAGAUUGCUGCCUCUGGCUGAGUGGUGUCAGCACCUUUCAGCUGUUCAAAGUGCAGCAGCUGUGGGCACCGGGAGAAGAGCCCUGGUGGACACUGAAGCUGGCCACUCAUGCAGGGUGGUUGGUGUGGGAACAGUGUCAGCACACCUUGCCCUUGCAGUUCUGAUGCACUGAUGCCUGUUUUCAGAACACCUUGUUUUUAAUGUGAUUCAUGCUGAAUGAAUCCCUAGGACACGAAGGCAGGAAAUGUGACAUAAAGCUUUAUAAAGGUUUCCAAACAGAGAACCUGCAAGGUCUUCUGUAGGAUGAUAGAUCUCUCCUUAAGUCAUAGGAGGAAAGGCUCCUACAAAGAGUAAUAAAUUCAUACAUUCCACUAGUCACCAGGGUUAUUUCCCACAAAAGAAUUUAUUACAUGGCAUACAUUUCCCUGCUCACAAUAAUGAGAUCUGGGUUCUAACAUGUGACGUUUAUGACUAGAAUUAUGAAAAAAAAAAAAAGAAAAACGAUAUAGAAUCUUUGAGAAAAAUAUGUGGGGCAAAUCUCCAAUUUGUAUAUAUGGUAUAUUCACUCCCCUGAACAGCAGGGGCAGGGCUGGGUUUUAACCAGGGAGAAAGAAAUAUUUUUGCUAAUGCUAUUCUAGAAAAAUGAACCGCAUUGGGAGCACCCAUCCUGGGCACCCUCCAGUUCUGCUGGAGGCACUGCCCCAGCCCAAGGUGGCACGGGGGGCACAGCCCAGUCCUGGCAUGGUGGCCCUGUCAGGGGUGGCCAUGGGAGCCCUCCUGAUGGUGCCAGACCCUCCCAAGCUGUGGAGCUGGUGCUCCUCAGUGCAGCUGCUCACUGCGGAGUGCUCUGCUCACCUGCCUGGCCAUGCAGCCAGCAGCAGAGGUAGCCCCAAGGAGCUCGCAGUGGAAAUUCUGGCAUGGCAGAGCAGUGCGCUUUGGGAAAGGUGCCAGGAGAUGGGGAGGGAGAGGCAAGGAUGACUAUCUUUUAGCUGAAACCCCCACAGCUCCUGCACAGCAUCCAGGAUGCCACAGAACAUCAAUCCACUAGGAAAUUCCAAGAAGAAUGCAUGGAAGGACCAAACGCUACCUUCUCUUCCCAACAUAUGCUUCUUUCUCCACCAUCAGGAGGCCAGACAGAGCUUGCAGGAGCCAUGGCCUGCUGCUCUAAGACAACCUGCCUGCACCCUGUAGGAGGUUUCCUGGGUUCAGCUGUGCCACCUGUCUACAUGCAGGUGGGAUGUGGAAAUACCCAGUCCCCAGUGCUGUAUGCCUUCUGAGCUGCUCUCAGAUGUAGGGCUAGGAUCAUUUGAGAGUGGAGGCAGUUGCCUGCUUUCUCCAUCCCUUUGUUUUGAUCCCCAGAAACACAGAAUCCCAGAGCCCCUGCAGAAACAGGACAGGAAGGCAUGGCAGAUCCCUGGCUUCUUCCAGGCCAACAGGAUGGCUGACCUGGUCAGGAGGGAUUUAAACCUCCAAUGUGCUGAAACCAUGGCCCAUGAACCUCUGACACUGUGGGAAAAGCCCAUUGUGCUUUGCACUCCAGAGCUCCCUGUGCAUCUCCCUGACAUCACAUGGCAAGGACAUUUGGAGCUGCUCUGCUGCCUAAUGGGGUAGUUUGGAUGUUACAGCCUAAAAUUAAAGAGCUCAUUAAUUACUAUGCUGAAAGCCAGGCUCUCUUUGAGCAUGUUCUUUAUCAUGAUUAAUGAGGCAGCACAAUCUCGUUCCCCCUUUAUGUAAUCUGUCCUGCCAAAGUGGAAUCCACAGUCCUGCCUCCCCCUUGCCCUCUCCUCCCUGCUUGGCAGUAAAGGCACGAACAGAGGUUCAGGGCUAAGUAUUGCCCAAAAGCCUGUGCUUCUCACACCUCCAGCGUUCGAGGUGUCGUCGCUUCUGCCAAUACAUUUUCUGAAAGGCAUUUGCUUCCUGCAGUCUGCCUGGGAGGAGGAACAGGCUGAGAUCUGGGCUCUAACAGCCCUGCAGUGUUGGUGGAACUUCCAGACAGAGCUCAGAUGCUCUCUGGCUCCUGUGCUUGGCUGGGCUGGAGCAGGUCUCAGCCUACUAGUGCUGACCCAUUUCCUUGGCUCUGCCUCAUGUG